GCCUCGGUGGGCAGUAUAUAUGGACAUCUGCCGAGGUGGCCUACUUAGCGGGUUCCUUGUACCUGCUUUUCCUAUCUAUGUUUCAUCCCCCUAAAGACAAGAGCCAUCAUUGCAGAGUCGGAACGAGGUUGUAAAAAGGAUUUCUUGGUUGUUCUAUAUAAGCCCAAGAGCGGAUUGAUAUCAGAGCUCUCUUGGCCCUAGGAGCCAGUUAUAUGGUCAUCUCUAGGAUGGCCUGCUUAGAUAACCAUCUUAUAACUCCCCUCCUACACCACCGAUCCUUCAUACAAGAUGGAUUUCAGACAUUUUCAUCAUCAGCAGAUUGGAAGUCAUGUUACUGCUCAUAUCACAAGGAAUUAGAAUCUUAUGGCUCAGAUCAGAUCUGAUAGCUCUCUAUGGGAACUCCUGUUGUUUCUCCACGCAUACCAUAAAUCUGGAGUACUAUUGAUUGUCCAUAAAUAUGGUUCAGAUUAAAAUGUGGUAGGUGUCAACAAAUAUCAUAUACCUGAAUGUGGUUGGACACUCAUAUGAAUCUGUACGUAUAGGAUGGCCAUUAUCAUCAAUGGAGCCAACUUGCUGAAGCAAUGCAACCACACAAGUUAGAUGAACUCAUCAAAACAGAAUUACAUGAAAUUCUGAACUAACUAGCAAUCUUUGCUUGAUAUGUGAGCUACAAGUCAUGGAUAAACUUUAGUAUGAAAGGCUUACUAAGAAUGCAGGACUUCAAAUUUGGUAAAUGGCAUAAAUGCUGUACAUCUAGGCCUAUACUUGAAUUCAAUCAGGAUGCAGCCCCAUAGAUGUUCACUAUU